rnacentral:sRNA from 1 species
AAGCAAAGGAAGAGUGUGUGUAACAGGAGGAACAGGUUUCAUCGGUUCAUGGAUUAUCAAGACCCUCCUUCAAGACGGUUACUCUGUUAACACCACUGUUAGACACAAUCCAGUGGGGAGCAAAGAACACCCGUGAAUUCCCUCUUGUGUUUGGCACCAUGCAAGCUUGGAAGAUAAAAGGAGUUGAAGGGUUCUGCACUGGGAGAGUUUCUGCACUGGAAGGGGAAGAAUCCUUGCUACCUUGCUGCCAUUUUUGUGAGAGAAAGAGAAGUUCAAAGUUUGGUGGAAUUACUUGGAGCUGCAAGUUUUGGAAGAGUUAGACUCAAAAUUCACAAAGGAAGUCUUCAAGAGGUGGGUUUCUGAGCGUUCGUUCAUAUAUAGUGGAUUAACGAGCGUUGGUGAUAAGGAUUUGAGUAGAGAGCGUCUGUGUGCGCCUGUAAACGUUCGUUCAUUCCAGAGGGAGACGAGCGUUUGGAAGAUGCGUUAAGCGAAGAGAACCUGGUUGAUGCCGA